ACUAAGGUGGCAGAAAAGUGCACUAAAUUUAAGCUUUAGAAAAGAAUUAUAUUCUCUUAGUU
rnacentral:tRNA from 1 species